GAUGAACGCUGGCGGCGUGCCUAAUACAUGCAAGUCGAGCGAACUGAUUAGAAGCUUGCUUCUAUGACGUUAGCGGCGGACGGGUGAGUAACACGUGGGCAACCUGCCUGUAAGACUGGGAUAACUUCGGGAAACCGAAGCUAAUACCGGAUAGGAUCUUCUCCUUCAUGGGAGAUGAUUGAAAGAUGGUUUCGGCUAUCACUUACAGAUGGGCCCGCGGUGCAUUAGCUAGUUGGUGAGGUAACGGCUCACCAAGGCAACGAUGCAUAGCCGACCUGAGAGGGUGAUCGGCCACACUGGGACUGAGACACGGCCCAGACCCCUACGGGAGGCAGCAGUAGGGAAUCUUCCGCAAUGGACGAAAGUCUGACGGAGCAACGCCGCGUGAGUGAUGAAGGCUUUCGGGUCGUAAAACUCUGUUGUUAGGGAAGAACAAGUACGAGAGUAACUGCUCGUACCUUGAUGGUACCUAACCAGAAAGCCACGGCUAACUACGUGCCAGCCGCCGCGGUAAUAC
rnacentral:rRNA from 1 species